UACGUAGGGUGCAAGCGUUAAUCGGAAUUACUGGGCGUAAAGCGUGCGCAGGCGGUGAUGUAAGACAGAUGUGAAAUCCCCGGGCUCAACCUGGGAACUGCAUUUGUGACUGCAUCGCUGGAGUGCGGGAGAGGGGGAUGGAAUUCCGCGUGUAGCAGUGAAAUGUGUAGAUAUGCGGAGGAACACCGAUGGCGAAGGCAAUCCCCUGGGCCUGCACUGACGCUCAUGCACGAAAGCGUGGGGAGCAAACAGG
rnacentral:rRNA from 1 species